AGCGAACGCUGGCGGCAGGCCUAACACAUGCAAGUCGAACGGAUCCUUCGGGAUUAGUGGCGGACGGGUGAGUAACACGUGGGAACGUGCCCUUUGGUUCGGAACAACUCAGGGAAACUUGAGCUAAUACCGGAUGUGCCCUUCGGGGGAAAGAUUUAUCGCCAUUGGAGCGGCCCGCGUCUGAUUAGCUAGUUGGUGAGGUAACGGGCCACCAAGGCGACGAUCAGUAGCUGGUCUGAGAGGAUGAUCAGCCACACUGGGACUGAGACACGGCCCAGACUCCUACGGGAGGCAGCAGUGGGGAAUCUUGCGCAAUGGGCGAAAGCCUGACGCAGCCAUGCCGCGUGAAUGAUGAAGGUCUUAGGAUUGUAAAAUUCUUUCAGCGGGGACGAUAAUGACGGUACCCGCAGAAGAAGCUCCGGCUAACUUCGUG
rnacentral:rRNA from 1 species